GAUGAACGCUGGCGGCGUGCCUAAUACAUGCAAGUCGAACGCUGAAGGAAGGAGCUUGCUCUUUCCGGAUGAGUUGCGAACGGGUGAGUAACGCGUAGGUAACCUGCCUGGUAGCGGGGGAUAACUAUUGGAAACGAUAGCUAAUACCGCAUAACAGUAGAUGUUGCAUGAUAACUAUUUGAAAGGGGCAAUUGCUCCACUACCAGAUGGACCUGCGUUGUAUUAGCUAGUUGGUGAGGUAACGGCUCACCAAGGCGACGAUACAUAGCCGACCUGAGAGGGGUAUUGGCCACAAUGGGACUGAGACACGGAUCAGACUCCUACAGGAGGCAGCAGUAGGGAAGCUUAGGAAAUGGACGGAAGUCUGACCGAGGAACGCCGCGUGAGUGAAGAAGGGUUGCGGAUGGUAAAACUCUGUUGUAAGAGAAGAACGAGGGUGAGAGUGGAAAGUUCACAAUGUGACGGUAUCUGACCAGAAAGGGACGGCUAACUACGUG
rnacentral:rRNA from 1 species